rnacentral:rRNA from 1 species
GAUGAACGCUGGCGGUAUGCUUAACACAUGCAAGUCGAACGGACUCUUCGGAGUUAGUGGCGGUCGGGGGGGUAACGCGGGGGAAUCUGGCUGUGGGUUCGGGACAACCACUGGAAGCGGUGGCUAAGGCCGGAUGAGCCAAGAGGUAAAAGCAAACUUGCUUGCAGAUUAGCUCGCGUCUGAUUAGCCAGUGGGUGAGGUAAGGGCUCACCAAGGCAGCGAUCAGUAGCCGGUCUGAGGGGAUGACCAGCCACACUGGGACUGAGACACGGCCCAGACGCCUACGGGAGACAGCAGGGAGGAAUUCUCCGCAACGGGCGAGAGCCUGACGGAGCAAUACCGCGUGAGAGAACUAGGCUCUUGGGAUGUAAAGCUCUUGUCUUAGAGAAGCACAAUAUGACGGUACCUAAGGAAUAAGCAUCGGCUAACUACGUG